AUUGAACGCUGGCGGCAUGCCUUACACAUGCAAGUCGAACGGUAACGGGUCCUUCGGGAUGCCGACGAGUGGCGAACGGGUGAGUAAUAUAUCGGAACGUGCCCAGUAGUGGGGGAUAACUGCUCGAAAGAGCAGCUAAUACCGCAUACGACCUGAGGGUGAAAGGGGGGGAUCGCAAGACCUCUCGCUAUUGGAGCGGCCGAAAUCAGAUUAGCUAGUUGGUGGGGUAAAGGCCUACCAAGGCAACGAUCUGUAGUUGGUCUGAGAGGACGACCAGCCACACUGGGACAGAGACACGGCCCAGACUCCUACGGGAGGCAGCAGUGGGGAAUUUUGGACAAUGGGCGCAAGCCUGAUCCAGCAAUGCCGCGUGCAGGAAGAAGGCCUUCGGGUUGUAAACUGCUUUUGUCAGGGAAGAAAUCUUCUGGGCUAAUACCCCGGGAGGAUGACGGUACCUGAAGAAUAAGCACCGGCUAACUACGUGCCAGCCGCCGCGGUAA
rnacentral:rRNA from 1 species